rnacentral:lncRNA from 1 species
CGCUGACGGAGGUGCUUCAGAACCAGCCGGUCUUGCUUGCCCAGCCGAGUCAGUUCGGCAGCUUGGCUGCCCCCGCCGGUCCCUCUCUGGGCCAGCCCGAGAAGAGCCCCCCGGCCAAGGACCUGGGCACCAGUGGGACGCCUCUGCUGGAGAGGAACAGGAGCUACAGCCUGUCGGGGGGAAACCCGCCUGGGGGCUUAGUCCACUCAAACCCCUCUUUCUUCCACUGCCCGCUUAGCUCAGCCGAAACUGCCGCCCCCAAGUCCCUGGCUCAGCCUGGCUCUCAAGGGCCCCUCAACUUGGCUAUGGAAGCCCCCCAGCCCCCUGCUGCAGAAGGGCUGCCUGUGGAAAGUGCUGGCCAGCCCACAGGUGGCGUUUCCCUCUCCCACGCUAGCCAUAACCUUCCUGGCUGGUCCCAGAACGCUUCCCACGGCCAGGAGCUUUCCAAACCCCUGGAUUUGGCCGGAGCGAAGUCCCAGGAGCUCAGCAGGGCAGGGCUUGGCCAGCUCCUUUCGGGCAGCCAGGCGUUUCCUCCAGCCCCCGGCCCGGCUGGCCCCGGCAACAACCAGCCACGAGGCCCGCAGCAGUUCUAUCGGCAGGUGACCAAGGACUUGGGGCCUGCCAUGCCCUCCGAUCGAGGGGCGCCCUCGGAGCAAGGCCAUGCAGCUUCUCGGCAUUCUUCCGUUUCCCCCAACCUCCAGAUGCCUCCUGGAAACCCGCACGACCCAGCGCCGAGUCCGAAGCCUUGCCCCGGCGGCCCCUUGGAAGGCAGUUCAGCCCCGCCACCGCCCAGCCAUCCUCAGACAGGCACCGACUUCAGGCAGGAUCCCCGCAUCCCCCCUGGCAUGGGGCCUCCUCCUCCUCCUGGAUCCACAGCCCCAAGCGGCCCCCAACCUGCUCGCCCCCCUUCGCACCACGAGCAGCAAUACCCUCCUUCGCAGAACCCCCAGAAUGCUUACGGCCCACCCGCCAGCUCCUACUACUACUACCGGCACCCCUACGACAGCUACAGCUACCCACCGGUGGAUCCUAGAGUGGCUCAGCUUUACUACCAGGUAGAGUGAAACGUGCUCUGUUUAGCCACCCUCAGGAGGAUUCUGGGGGCUGGGGCUGGGGG